AGAGUUUGAUCAUGGCUCAGAUUGAACGCUGGCGGCAGGCCUAACACAUGCAAGUCGAGCGGUAGCACAGAGAGCUUGCUCUCGGGUGACGAGCGGCGGACGGGUGAGUAAUGUCUGGGAAACUGCCUGAUGGAGGGGGAUAACUACUGGAAACGGUAGCUAAUACCGCAUAACGUCGCAAGACCAAAGUGGGGGACCUUCGGGCCUCAUGCCAUCAGAUGUGCCCAGAUGGGAUUAGCUAGUAGGUGGGGUAACGGCUCACCUAGGCGACGAUCCCUAGCUGGUCUGAGAGGAUGACCAGCCACACUGGAACUGAGACACGGUCCAGACUCCUACGGGAGGCAGCAGUGGGGAAUAUUGCACAAUGGGCGCAAGCCUGAUGCAGCCAUGCCGCGUGUGUGAAGAAGGCCUUCGGGUUGUAAAGCACUUUCAGCGGGGAGGAAGGCGAUAAGGUUAAUAACCUUGUCGAUUGACGUUACCCGCAGAAGAAGCACCGGCUAACUCCGUGCCAGCAGCCGCGGUAAUACGGAGGGUGCAAGCGUUAAUCGGAAUUACUGGGCGUAAAGCGCACGCAGGCGGUCUGUCAAGUCGGAUGUGAAAUCCCCGGGCUCAACCUGGGAACUGCAUUCGAAACUGGCAGGCUAGAGUCUUGUAGAGGGGGGUAGAAUUCCAGGUGUAGCGGUGAAAUGCGUAGAGAUCUGGAGGAAUACCGGUGGCGAAGGCGGCCCCCUGGACAAAGACUGACGCUCAGGUGCGAAAGCGUGGGGAGCAAACAGGAUUAGAUACCCUGGUAGUCCACGCCGUAAACGAUGUCGAUUUGGAGGUUGUGCCCUUGAGGCGUGGCUUCCGGAGCUAACGCGUUAAAUCGACCGCCUGGGGAGUACGGCCGCAAGGUUAAAACUCAAAUGAAUUGACGGGGGCCCGCACAAGCGGUGGAGCAUGUGGUUUAAUUCGAUGCAACGCGAAGAACCUUACCUGGUCUUGACAUCCACAGAACUUUCCAGAGAUGGAUUGGUGCCUUCGGGAACUGUGAGACAGGUGCUGCAUGGCUGUCGUCAGCUCGUGUUGUGAAAUGUUGGGUUAAGUCCCGCAACGAGCGCAACCCUUAUCCUUUGUUGCCAGCGGUCCGGCCGGGAACUCAAAGGAGACUGCCAGUGAUAAACUGGAGGAAGGUGGGGAUGACGUCAAGUCAUCAUGGCCCUUACGACCAGGGCUACACACGUGCUACAAUGGCAUAUACAAAGAGAAGCGACCUCGCGAGAGCAAGCGGACCUCAUAAAGUAUGUCGUAGUCCGGAUUGGAGUCUGCAACUCGACUCCAUGAAGUCGGAAUCGCUAGUAAUCGUAGAUCAGAAUGCUACGGUGAAUACG
rnacentral:rRNA from 1 species